GAUGAAGAACGCAGCGAAAUGCGAUAAGUAAUGUGAAUUGCAGAAUUCAGAGAAUCAUCGAAUCUUUGAACGCACAUUGCGCCCGCCAGUAUUCUGGCGGGCAUGCCUGUUCGAGCGUCAUUUCAACCAUCAAGCCCCCGGCUUGUGUUGGGGACCUGCGGCUGCCGCAGGCCCUGAAAAGCAGUGGCGGGCUCGCUGUCACACCGAGCGUAGUAGCAUACAUCUCGCUCUGGGCGUGCUGCGGGUUCCGGCCGUUAAACCACCUUCAUAACCCAAGGUUGACCUCGGAUCAGGUAGGAAGACCCGCUGAACUUAAGCAUAUCAAUAAGCGGAGGA
rnacentral:misc_RNA from 1 species